GUGGGGAAUUUUGGACAAUGGGGGCAACCCUGAUCCAGCAAUGCCGCGUGCAGGAAGAAGGCCUUCGGGUUGUAAACUGCUUUUGUACGGAACGAAACGGUCUGGGUUAAUACCCUGGGCUAAUGACGGUACCGUAAGAAUAAGCACCGGCUAACUACGUGCCAGCAGCCGCGGUAAUACGUAGGGUGCGAGCGUUAAUCGGAAUUACUGGGCGUAAAGCGUGCGCAGGCGGUUUUGUAAGACAGAGGUGAAAUCCCCGGGCUCAACCUGGGAGCUGCCUUUGUGACUGCAAGGCUGGAGUGCGGCAGAGGGGGAUGGAAUUCCGCGUGUAGCAGUGAAAUGCGUAGAUAUGUGGAGGAACACCGAUGGCGAAGGCAAUCCCCUGGGCCUGCACUGACGCUCAUGCACGAAAGCGUGGGGAGCAAACAGGAUUAGAUACCCCUGUAGUCC
rnacentral:rRNA from 1 species